UGAGAUAUAAGAGUACAUCAUCACUAAACAAGUGACUCAUCUGUGGAGUGUUCUACUAUCAAGAGUAGCUCAUGAAAUAUAUGGACAUAAGUGUACCUCUCAGAUCUGAGAUCACCAUAGUGACUUGUAAGUAACUCACUAUGCUUUGGUGCCAGACUAUUGCAUUUCUAAUAUAGUGAUGAAAGACUACAGGUACAGUCAAAUACUUACAAAGUCUGUGUGUGGAUCC
rnacentral:lncRNA from 1 species